rnacentral:lncRNA from 1 species
UUUUUUUUUUUUUUUGAGAGAGAGAGAAGCACAAGCAGUGGGAGGAGCAGAGGGAGACAGAUAGAGAGAGAAUCUUAAGCAGGCUCCAUGAUGAGCAUGGAAUCCAGCCCACGUGGGGCUUGAUAUCAAGCCUGAGAUCAUGACCUGAGUUGAAACCAAGAGUCAGACAUUUAAACAUCUGAGCAAUCCAGCUGCCUCUCUGGUACCCUGAAUUUUAUGGUUGCUGCUCUAUAUCAGUUGGCUCUGAUAGCCAGUGGUGCUUAUGUUUGUGGGUCCCAGAGGACUAUAACCUACAGAGAAAUAAUUCUUUAUCAGCUACUACCCCAGGGCACAUCAAAAGGCAACAGACCCAGAAGCUCAAUCUUUCUAUGGAAGAGGCCUACUAGCUUAUGGUUAUAGCUGCACUCCCAGGGGCAUGCUUCUAAUUAAACAUAUACCUAAGGGUCAACAAUAAAACCUUCUCUCUGGAACACUAGCCACUUCAAGUCAGAAAACAGUAAACUUUAAAAUUUAGGAGAUUUCUAUCAGUGGUUCUCUUUUAAUUUUAUUUAAAAUUGUAUUUAAUAUGUAUAAAUAUGGAGGAAUUUGUAGUCCCUGUGUCCAUAGCUCUAGGAAGCAUGAAGGGCAUAUUGUAGGGUGUGGAGAAGUAUGGAGAUGGCAGAUGUAGAAAGCUCAGGAGAAUUUUUUUACUUGAUUGGGAAAGUCAUAAUAUAAGCCUCUAUCAGUUGAUCAACUGAUCAAUCCAUUGAUAUAUAUGUUCAUGUAGAAACAUGAAAUUUGUGUUCAUAUACAAGGAGUAGCCACAGACAAUGACAGAUAGUAGUGGAAAAUGCAACACAGAUCUCUCAUUUUUAACACUGCAAUUUAAAUCUAAAUAAAGAUGCUGCUUGAGUUAGUCUGGAAUCUAGUAUCUACAUUAGAUUUUAUCUUAAUGUCUUAUAUUAAGAAGUCUCAGCUGUUAUUCUAAUGUUAUUGAUAGCAAAAGUUUUGAAUGAGAUAUGUAACAAGUGCUUAGUGCAUUUCACAUACAUUCUCUUAUUUAACUCUCAAAACUUUCAUAGGAUAUAAGUAUUGCUAUUAUCCCCUGCAUUUAUUCAGCAGAGGAAACUGAAGCUAGAGAGGUUAAAUGCCCAAGGUCACAGGGCUGGAAAGUGGUGGAAUCUAGAUUCAAGUACACGUCCUCUGGCUUCUCAGUUGCUUUUCUUCUCAGCUGCACAAUGAUGAAUCAGAAGCACCGAAAGUCUACUUUAACAACCAAAAAUCUGAUUCUAUUCUGGUAAUCCUAAUGUUUUCCUGUUUCCAAGUGGAAAAAUGUGUAUUAUGCAUUUUCUAGGAAAAGAAUAGUGGUGUUGAGGAAGACACGUACCUCUGCUUUCUGAGAAACUGCUCAGAAAUUUUCCAGAUCAUGUCAUGGGAAUAGCUUAACCCCAGACCCAAGACAUUUAGGUGAGCCAGGAUGGAAUGUUCUGUGAGAGGAAAGGGUCAAGCAAAUAUUUCAUCUCUUUGAUACAGACAUUGUCCUUUAUGUGUCCUUUGGCCUGAGAGAGCACAGAACAAUAAGGUCAGCCAAACAGAUGUGAGGGCAAAGCUCACCAUGUGCUAGCUUUCUUCAGACACUAUUAUGAACAUCAAAGACAUCUUUGAAGUUCAAAAGGAAAAGUCAUAAAGACAGCCAGAGGGUCUGUGAACCUGUGAAGGGCAUGAUUUCCUUGUCAGAAAUGCUAGGAUUUGAAGGGAGGAAUUAAGAGUACAAAGAGACAAGUUACAAGAAAACUGAGCAUCUUAGCUUCACUGAUCAUACCAUGAAAUGGUAAACUCCAUGAAGACAGCCAGUUCUUUACAAUCUACUGAAAGCCUAGUUCAGAGCAAGUAGUAUAUAGAUAAUAAUUCAUCCAUAUACAUAUAUAUCCAUUUAUUAAUAUGGAUUGAUUGAAUGAUUGAUAGAGCACCUAUUAUAUGCUUUUGUUCUAAGUGUUAGAGAUACAGAAGUGGAUGAACCAAAUUUCCUAUUCAAGAAAUUAACAAAUCAAUGUAAAUGUAUAUUAUGUUAGGUAGUAUAAGGGCUAGUAAGAAAAUUAAAACAGAGUAAGAAGAAAGAGAAUGAAGAUAACAGACUGGGGAGCUAGAUAGAGAUAAGAACGUGAUCAAUUAAGAUGUUUCUACUAAGAGGCAUUUAAACAAAGAAAUUUGAAGGAAUUGAAGGAGUACAAUGAAGAUAUGGAACAACAAUCUAACAUAAUCAUUUAAUGAUUUUAAUUUCAUAAUCCCAAUGUCUCCAAACCCUACUUGCUUGAGUGUAGUAUGUCCAGAGUCUCCCUUCUGGACAACGAAUCACCAGGUUCAUUGUCACAUGUUCUUGAAUUAGACUUGGUAACCAUCUUAACAGCCUGCUCUAUACAUGUAACCAUAUAGUAUCUGUUUUUAUAUCAACUAGUGAGUACAUUUCCUUUUUUAUUUGUUGGUCAUUUUCCUAAAAGGUAAAUAGUAAUGACUAUUUACCUAAAAGGUAAAUAGUAAUGACUAUUCCCAUCUCUUACAUCUAAGAUAGUUUUAUGACAUUACAUAUAAUAGAAAAGAAAUUUGAAGCUUCUACUUCAAUUUGAACUGUUUAAGUCUGUCCUAAUGGAGUACUAGAGAAGUUUUAAGUCAUAUAUUUACUCAUGUGGAUAAUUCAGGUAUUGGAUAACACUUUUGACUGCCAUAUAAAAAUGAUAUGUAUGAGCUUUUGAAUGUGCAAAUAAUGCUACUAAACUGGCAUCAGUAGAAAAUGGGUUUUGACCUAUUAUUACUUGUUCACAUUGAGAUGCAUUAUGGUCUUUUACUCAUUCUGAGGAACCAAUGUGAGAUAUUAGUUAAUUAGGUUAAUCAGGAAAAUUAUAUAUUAUACAUGUUUCUAUGAGCCAUGUCUCCUUCUAUAGGCUCCAGCAGAACAUUGUUGGUGGUAGGCUAUGAAAUGCACAUUUAAGGAGGAAAAUUUAUUACCAGAAGUCUAUUUGGACUGUCUAGUGUGAGACAUCUUAAAAAAGAAAACAAAAUUGGACUUUACUAACAGACUGAGAUUUAUUUUUUUGUUUUUGUUUUUGUUUUUUUUUUUAAUUUUUUAUUUUUUUAUAUAAAUUUAUUUUUUAUUGUUGUUCGAUUUGCCAACAUAUA